UUUUUUUUUUUUUUUUGAGUAUUUUUGUUUUAAAACUAAAUUUUAAUUCUGACAUUAAAUGGAUAAAACAAUAAAUCAUGUAUUAUAAUUGUAUUUAUAAAAUAUUCCUUUUUUUUUUUAUCACUACUACUUACCACUCUGUAACUUUUACAAUUUAUUGUACUUAAAUAUUUGGAUUCAUUUUCUUAAAAUAGAAAAAUAUCUGGCCAUCUAAACAAACCUAUUUUAAUCAAAUGUCAUUGACAUUUCAGUUAUUAUUUUUUUCAUAUCUCCAUUUCCUGUAAAUGUACAAGUGUUUCAAUCUUUGUGAAAUGAUUUAUAUGAAAGAUUAUGUUUUUAUUUCUAGUACCAGUUUUGACUUCUGUAUAAUGAAACAUAUUUAUAUACAACUAUAUGAUUACAAACAAUAAACGUUUCUCAAAAUUUUCAGCAGAAACAAAUUUUGAAAU